ACUGACCGAUAGUGAACCAGUACCGUGAGGGAAAGGCGAAAAGAACCCCGGCGAGGGGAGUGAAAAAGAACCUGAAACCGUGUACGUACAAGCAGUGGGAGCACGCUUAGGCGUGUGACUGCGUACCUUUUGUAUAAUGGGUCAGCGACUUAUAUUCUGUAGCAAGGUUAACCGAAUAGGGGAGCCGAAGGGAAACCGAGUCUUAACUGGGCGUUAAGUUGCAGGGUAUAGACCCGAAACCCGGUGAUCUAGCCAUGGGCAGGUUGAAGGUUGGGUAACACUAACUGGAGGACCGAACCGACUAAUGUUGAAAAAUUAGCGGAUGACUUGUGGCUGGGGGUGAAAGGCCAAUCAAACCGGGAGAUAGCUGGUUCUCCCCGAAAGCUAUUUAGGUAGCGCCUCGUGAAUUCAUCUCCGGGGGUAGAGCACUGUUUCGGCAAGGGGGUCAUCCCGACUUACCAACCCGAUGCAAACUGCGAAUACCGGAGAAUGUUAUCACGGGAGACACACGGCGGGUGCUAACGUCCGUCGUGAAGAGGGAAACAACCCAGACCGCCAGCUAAGGUCCCAAAGUCAUGGUUAAGUGGGAAACGAUGUGGGAAGGCCCAGACAGCCAGGAUGUUGGCUUAGAAGCAGCCAUCAUUUAAAGAAAGCGUAAUAGCUCACUGGUCGAGUCGGCCUGCGCGGAAGAUGUAACGGGGCUAAACCAUGCACCGAAGCUGCGGCAGCGACGCUGAUGCGUUGUUGGGUAGGGGAGCGUUCUGUAAGCCUGUGAAGGUGUGCUGUGAGGCAUGCUGGAGGUAUC
rnacentral:rRNA from 1 species